AACGUCCUUAUCGGGGGUAGAGCGGCAAUUCAAUGAUCGUAAGAGAGAAUUGCUCUGCUGACACCCUUUCAACARCACAAUGUCACUGCCUAGAAAUGGGUUGGUGCAAUUUUUGGAACU